GAAUUGUCAUAACAAUCAUACAUACCUACCACAACUUUACUCUUUUCUCUCUUCUCUUUCUUCUAGAAUCGUCAUCUUCUCACCGGAUUUUCAACAUUGAAUCAAGAUCAAAGAUCCGCCUAUAUAUCUUGAAGAUCAGACCAUAAAUCUUGAAGUUAAUGAUUUUGGUUGUUGUAUUUUUUCAUGUGAUCCUUACAUCCGUUAUAACAAUCUGAAUACCACCAUUCGUCAAGCAACAGAGUUUUCUAUUUGCAAUUGAGGUUUUGUUUUGAUCAAAGUUGGGUUAUGCAAGGUAAAUGGGGGAUAUCUACAAAUUUUGAUGGUACACGGCUUUUCAUUUAACGACAAUUUUGAUCAGAUACUGACAUUUAAGGAAAAAAUCUUAAUACAAUAUUGGGUAGAAGAUGCUGGAGAAUGAACUUAAGCGUAAUUUGGAUGCCGUUUAUGAUGUGGAUUUAUGUUCUUCUCAGUCUUCCACUAAACCGCGUAUGGGUGAUUGUGAGAACAAUGAAGAUCCGCCUAUAUAUCUUGAAGAUCAGACCAUAAAUCUUGAAGGUAUGUUGUUUUACUCGGUUGUUUAUGUAGUAUACAUCUUUAAUCUAAGAGAUUGAACAUGUUUAUUUUUUUCUUAAACCAAAAUCUACAUCAGAUAUUUUUUGUUGAUUUUUGUUAUGUAUAAAAUCAAGUUUCCGGGUUUUUCUUAAUCAUCUAUUCCACAAUUAUCGCAGUUAAUGAUUUUGGUUGUUGUAUUUUUUUCAUGUGAUUCCUUACAUCCGUUAUAACAAUUUGAAUCCCACCAUUCGUCAAGCAACAGAGGUGAAGAGCUUCUUUCAGACUCCUUCCCCUACAAGAAACUAUUGAAUGGGUUCCUAUGAGAAGUUGAAGAAAAGUUAUGGAUAAUGAAAACAAUGUUCCUUCGUUAUUAAAGUCGAUUGAGGACUAUGAUCCUAUAUUUUUCGAAUUGUUCGUCGACCAAAAACAGUUAUGGAUCAUGAAAACAACGCUCCUUCGUUGUUAAAGUUGAUUGGGGACUAUGAUCCUAUAUUUUUGGUGUUUAUUUUGGAUGGUCCGGAGUUUUUGGCUGCAACUAUGUUGGACAGAGAUAUGCUUGCUAUUGCUGUAAAUUGGUACCAUGUCGGUUGGUUUUGCUUGGUAAGAUUUGUGACGAUGCGUCGGACAAACAACAUUGGGAAAAUAUACAGCCUUGAUCCUUGAUGACGAAUGUAUAUCUCUAUUUGAGGAAUUCUCCAAAGAUCCAGAGCCGAUUGUUUCAUAGAGCUGUGAAGUUGCGUUAAACAUACUGGAUUUUGAACGAUCCGACAAACCAUUCGAGGUACUUGGAAGAUUAAGUCUCUUAUCUGGUGGUUGUUACAGGUUUAGUAUGUUAAAUGAUUUUGGAUGUACUCUGCGAUGUCGAUGAUGCAGAGAUGUUGGAGAAGCUCAGGUUCGAACAACUUCAUGUGUAUAUUUUAUUAUAAAAAAUAAAAGUUUUUUUUUUGUU